UGAUCUGUCGCGCAUUUUAUUUUAUUUUCGUCCUCCUUGCAGUCCUGUGAAUAGUGAGGUGUGUGCUUCAUGGAAAGUUGAAUCGCUCAAAGUAUCGUGGAAUUAUUAUUUUUGUAGUAGCUAUCUUUUUUCUUCAGCUUGUCAUUGAGCAUGCAGUGUAUAUUGAAUUUGUACGUGGGGAACAUGAAUGCAACUUGUGGAAUUCAUUUGUGUUCAGAAAUUCGUAUCAGUUAUCUUUUUGGAACUUGAUAUUUGGCACACACCACACUACUUUUCAUCUAAUUAAGUGCAUGCAUGCAUUAGAAUGACUCACUUCGUCUUAUUAUAUGCAUACACUAGAGGACAAACAAAUCUGACAUCAUCCUAGAUUCUCUCUACCAAAAAUUCAAAAUGUUUUAUAGCUCAAACCAUCGGUCGGAUGCAAAAACAAUUUCCAUAUAAAAGAUAUGUUGCAAUGAGAUCUUUGAAACUAGAUCUCAUGUUCGUACUCGCUCCGGAGGUGUUUAAUAGCUCAAACCAUGCGUAAAUUAUCAGUUCUAUGGCGGAGUAUAUUAUCAUGUCAUUUACACAAAAGUUACCGGAUGUGUUUUUGAAAUCCUUUCCCCUGGCUCAAAAUUAUCACGGUGUUUGCGCAUAACUUAUCAGCUGUGUUGUGCAUAAAUUAACAUGCCUUUUACAUGGAUUGAGUGAAGUUCAGAUAUCCCAAAGCACACAGAUGCAUCAACGUUUAGCAAAAGACAUGGUUCAUGAAGGAAAUAGCCCUAGAGGUAAUAAUAAAGUUAUUAUUUAUUUCCUUAUUUCAUGAUAAAAGUUUAUUAUUCAUGCUAGAAUUGUAUUAACCGAAAACAUAAUAUAUGUGUCAAUACAUAGACAAAUAGAGUGUCAUUAGUAUGACUCUACUUGACUAGCUCGUUGAUUAAAGAUGGUUAUGUUUUCUAACCAUAGACAUGAGUUGUCAUUUGACUUGACCCAUUCCGUUAGCUUAGAACUUGAUCGUUUUAGUUUACUGCUAUUACUUUCUUCAUGACUUAUACAUGUUUUUAUGACUAUAAAAUUAUGCAACUCUUGAUUAUCGAAGAAACACUUUAUGUGCUACCAAACAUCAUAAUGUAACUGGAUGAUUAUAAAUGUGUUCCACAGGUGUCUUUGAUGGUACUUGUUGAGUUGGCAUAGAUCGAGAUUAGGAUUUGUCACUCCGACUAUCGGAGAGAUAUUUCUGGGUCCUCUCGGUAAUGCACAUCACUAUAAGCCUUGCAAGCAAUGCAACUAAUGAGUUAGUGUUUUUUUUUGAAAAGGGGGACAACCCCGGCCUCUGCAUUGGAAAGAUGCAUACGACCUUCAUUAACAAGCAAAUAGGUUCAACACAAGUCUAAAAGUCUUGAACAAAGCUGCUCAUAGAGAGGUAAGGAACGAAAGUAGAUGCCACAGCCGGCAGACAAAAGAUAGAAAGGAAAACUAAUUGCCUAUCCUAUUACAUGACCGCCAUCCAAACCGGCUGAAAAUAUCCUGUGCUACCAUCUCCCAUCGGAUAGAUCCAGUAACCAAACGCUCCAUGGCCUCCGUCGGAAUGAGUACCACAUACGAAUCAAAGCCAUGGCUCGGAAUAUAACCUGCAAAAAAUGAGUAGCUGAUGUUCUGUUAAAUACCAAAUCAUUUCUGCAAUUCCAUAUAGCCCAUAAUAACGCACAUACUCCUACAUGAAUGUGUCUCGCUGUUUGGGACUCUAUCCCAUCCAACCACGUCCCAAAAACCGUGUUAAUAUUAUGUGGAGGAGUUAUAUUAAAGGCUGUGUUCACUGAUUGCCAUAGAAUCUUUGUCAUAGGACAAUCUAGAAAUAGGUGCUUAAUUGUUUCAUCCCUGUCACAAAAGCUACAGCAAGAGGAUCCAGUCCAGUUGCGUUUAAUCAAGUUAUCCCUAGUUAAAAUGACUUGUUUAUGCACAAACCACAUGAACACUUUAACUUUCAAGGGAACUUUGACAUGCCAAACAUGUUUCGACGUAGGAAUAGUACUAGAAUUAAUUACAUCCAAGCACAUGGAUUUAACCGUAAAUUCUCCAUUCCUAGUAAGUUUCCAACACAACUGGUCCGGACGUUGAGAGAGUUGAACAUCCAUCAGUCUUCUUACAAGAUGGAGCCAAGCUUCCCAACUUUUGCCAGCUAAUGCUCUCCUGAAGCUAUGAAGCUAAUAUUUAGAGGCGUGGACUGACAUACAGACUCAACGGUUGCAUCUCUCCGUUGAACAAUACUAUAGAGAGAAGGAUAUUGCACUGCCAGGGGCGUAUCCCCUAGCCAGGUAUCCUCCCAAAAUCUUGUAGAAGUACCGUUACCAACAACCACCUUGGCCCGGUUAAGAAAGAGCGAUUUAACUCUCAUCAGGCCUUUCCAGAAAGGCUAAUCCAUCGGCCUCACUGUCACCUGGGAUAAGGUCUUGGAUUGAAGGUACUUAUUACGCAGAAUCUGUGCCCAUGUGGCCUCGGUCUCUCGAGAAAUCUUAUACGACCAUUUGCUAAGAAGACAUUUGUUUUUUACCUUAAGAUUUUCGAUACCAAGACCCCCUUGGUCCUUCGUUCGACAAAUAAUGUCCCAUCUAGCUAAUCUAUACUUUCUCUUCAUCUCAUCACUUUGCCAGAAAAAACGGGAUUGAUAGAAAUCGAGUCUUUUCCGAACUCCCACUGGUACUUCGAAAAAAGACAAAAGGAACAUGGGCAUACUUGUGAGCACCGAAUUAAUAAGAAUUAACCGGCCUCCAUACGACAUCGGUUUGCCCUUCCAGCAGCGCAGUUUCUUCUCAAAUCGAUCCUCAAUGCACUUCCAUUCGCUAUUUGUUAGCUUACGAUGAUGAAUGGGUAUACCUAAAUACGCAAAAGGUAACGCCCCCAAUUCACACCCGAACAAUUGCUUAUAUGCCUCUUGUUCCUCCUUGGCUCUUCCAAAGCAGAACAAUUCACUCUUGUGAAAAUUAAUUUUCAGACCGGACAAUUGUUCGAACAAGUAUAACACCACCUUCAUGUUUCUCGCCUUUGCCAAGUCAUGCUCCACAAAGAUGAUAGUAUCAUCAGCGUACUGUAGGACAGAUACACCUCCAUCAACUAGAUGAGGUACCAAGCUACCUACCUGUCUAGCAUCCUUAGCCCUUCCUAUUAGAAUUGUCAACAUAUCAACUACAAUGUUGAACACAAUAGGUGACAUUGGAUCUCCUUGUCUUAGGCCCUUAUGUGUUUGGAAAUAGCGACCUAUGUCAUCAUUCACUUUAAUUCCAACAUUGCCUUUUUGCGUGAAAGAUUCUACCUGUCUUCGCCAGGCUUGAUCAAAAUCUUUCAUCCUCAACGCUUGUUGAAGGAAUGGCCAUUUGACUUUGUCGUACGCUUUUUCGAAAUCCACUUUAAAAACCACCCCAUCUAGUUUUUUCGUAUGGAUUUCAUGGAGCGUUUCAUGCAGGACCACCACCCCUUCAUGGAUAUUCCUAUCCGGCAUGAAGGCAGUUUGGGAUGGCUGCACCAUAGAAUGCGCAAUCUACGUGAGCCUAUUUGUCCCAACCUUGGUGACUAUUUUGAAACUUACAUUCAGAAGACAGAUGGGCCUAAACUGCUCAAUUCGGACCGCCUUUGUUUUCUUAGGCAACAAAGUAAUAGUUCCAAAAUUCAGAUGAAACAAAUGAAGCUGUCCAGCGAAUAAGUCCUGGAAGAUCGGAAGCAAGUCCCCUUUAAUAAUAUGCCAAUACCUCUUAUAAAACUCCGCCGGAAAUCCGUCCGGUCCCGGAGCUGAAUUAUUCUUCAUUUAAGAAAUAGCUUCAAACACCUCUUUCUCUGAGAAUGGGGCAUUUAAAAUAUCAUUCUCAUCUGAAGCCAACUGAGGGAUAUCCUCAUUCCGCGACUCAUCUAGAGAUACGAAAUUAUCCUCCGGAGGCCCAAAUAGUUUCUUAUAAUAAUCAGUGAUGUAUAGUUUUAAAUUUUCCUGCCCUACAAUCGUCCCUUCAUCUUGCUCAAGCUGAAAGAUCCUUUUAUUUAAUUGCUUGCCAUUGGCGAUCAUAUGAAAGAACUGAGUGUUGGCAUCCCCCUGGACCACUUUGCGAACCUUCGCCCGCAAUGCCCACUUCAAUUCUUCUUCUCGCACAAGCUCUUUCAAUCUCAUCUCCGCAUCUAGUUUAACAUGAAGUUUCGUUGGAUCUAGGAUUGUGCACUCGGCUUUUACAUCUAAGACCUGAAUAAGGAAAAGGAGCCUUUCCUUUUCGACCUUAUAAACCCCACUAAGAUGCUUAGCCCACCCACGUAAGAAACUUCGCAAGUGACGAAUCUUAUUCUGCCAUCUCUCUAUUGAAGUUCUUCCUCCUGAAUCUUUAGCGCAUUCCCUGGCUAUAAGAUCAAAAAGCCUUCUCUCUCAAACCACGCUAGUUCGAAAGAGAAGGUAUUCUUGUUCCCCAUGUGUGUUGCCUCACCAGAGUCAACCAGCAAAGGGGUAUGGUCCGAGAUUCCGUGCGAUAAAGCCUGGACGGUGACUAGAGGAAACUUCUGUUCCCAGUCAACGCUCGCGAGGACACGGUCCAGCUUCUCAAAUGUAGUAGACAAAGAAUUAGCCCAUGUGAAUUUUCUACCCGAAAGCUCUAUCUCUCUUAGAUCCAAGCUUUCAAUAAUGGUGUUAAACAUAAACGACCAUCUGCCAUCAAAAUUAUCAUUGUUCUUUUCAUCCCUCCUUCUAAUGAUAUUGAAAUCACCCCCUACUAAGACUGGAAGCUGCUCAGACCCGCAAAUACAGACUAGAUCCGCCAGAAAAUCCGGUUUUAAUUCUGGCUGGGCGGCCCCAUAGACCGCCACCAAGGCCCAAUUAAACCCGUCGAUCUUCGACCUAACCCGAUAUUUGACAGCAAAAUCUCCCAUGACCACAGUCCGGACUUCCAUCGUCUCACAUCUAACCCCAAGUAAGAUACCGCCUAAUCUUCCUCUCGGGGGGAGACAAUGCCAAUCAAAAUCAGCCCCUCCCGACAAUGUAUUAAGGAAUUGAGGCGCGAAAUUGCCUCUUCCUGUUUCAGAAAGAGCAAUAAAAUCCAGCCUCUGUUCAAUAGAAGCCUUUGCUGGAAAUCUUCUUUUAGCCAAGUCCCUCAGACCUCUACUAUUCCAAAAAUUCCUCUCAUAACUCAUCAUGAAUUUUUAUGGUCAUUCGGUUCCUAGCACUUCUACGCACCGCGGAGGUAGGGUAGAUCUUGCGUUGCCACUUGCGUUUAGGUUUGGGUACAUCCUCCACCCGGUCCUCACAACCGGUGUCAGGGAGACCCUCGGUAGGAUCCUCUAUAGGUUCCUUAUCCCCAAUAGUUAAAUAAUCCUCCUCCUCCUCGGUCUUAGGGAGAGGAGGGGCAAUAUCUGCACAAAGCGUAUCUAACACCCUGACUCCCAACCGAGCAAUAUCCGAAUUGUUCAUAGGUUUAACAGCUGCUAGAUUGUGAAUCAUAUCUAAAGCUGUCAUUAACUGAAUGCGAGAUUUCAUUAUCAUUACUACCCAGUGAAACUCCUAAUUGAUUUGCUUUAUUAAUAAUCUCAACAUCAGAAAAAUGCAGAAUAGAAUUGGAAGUGUUGACCUACAUACCAGUUGUGACCUCAAUAUCACGAACCUUGGCCGCCCACCUGACGCACCUUAGCUGCAUGUCAUCAACCUCCGGCUGGUCUUGGAGGCGACAGCUCAUCCGCCGCCCCCGGGAAACAGGAUCCGGGAUACCUCCAAAAGCUAUGACCUCCUCCCUAGAAGCCUAGAUAGGGGUCAGGCCUCCCGCCUCACCCCACCGCUCGGAUGACAAGGAGCCCUAGGCCUUGGCAUCGGCGCCGGUUCCGGCAGGCGCAUAAGGGAAGAAUGCUGGGACAUCUGCCCAUGCUCCCCCCUAACGAGGCUGGCUCAGACAAUGUCCCACCCAAAGGCUGGCAAGGGGAGGUGAGAACAGGGGCCGCCUGCCCCCCACCUCGCCAAGACGAACUGCCAAGCCGACGGGUGAUGCGCCCAGGCAAGACGGCGCCGGUAGGCCCGACCCUUGCGGCGGAACAAGGGGUAGCCCGCCCUCGGAGCGAAACGACGCCGUAGGAGAUGUCGGCCUAGCCGCAACAGGAGAGGAAAGACCAAAGGCCUCUGCCCCGGUCUCCCUCUCACCGCCAACACGACGACACUGGGCAGCGGAGAUGCCUCCCCCUCGGUCCUCGACCGAGGCGAAGCAUCGAGAGUAGAGGGGGAAGAAGGGGCCGCCUGCCCAUGACCCCCCUCUCUCAGCAAAGUAGUCAAUCCCUGCAAAGUCUAAGGGUGGAAGCGUGCCCUCUAGCACAUCCUCAGACUCCACCCGAUCGCUCCAGAGCCUCGGAGGAGUGGAUGCAGGCUCAAAAGAUCCGAAUCUCAAAGUGCUCAUAGGUGCCGAAACAGAAGGGCGCCCCAGACACAGGCGCCUGCAAUGAGUUAGUUGCAGGAUAAUGCAUUACGGAAACGAAUAAAGAGACUUGCCGGUAACGAGAUUGAACUAGGUAUUGAGAUACCGACGAUCGAAUCUCGGGCAAGUAACAUACCGAUGACAAAGGGAACAACGUAUGUUGUUAUGCGGGUUGACCGAUAAAGAUCUUCGUAGAAUAUGUAGGAGCCAAUAUGAACAUCUAGGUUCCGCUUGUUGGGAACGUAGCAGAAAUUCAAAAUUUUCCUACGUGUCACCAAGAUCUGUCUAUGGAGAGACUAGCAACGAGGGGAAGGAGAGUGCAUCUAGAUACCCUUGUAGAUCGCUAAGCGGAAGCGUUCAAGUGAACGGGGUUGAUGGAGUCGUACUCGUCGUGAUCCAAAUCACCGAUGACCAAGUGCCGAAUGGACGGUACCUCCGUGUUCAACACACGUACAACCCGGUGACGUCUCCCAUGCCUUGAUCCAGCAAGGAGAGAGGGAGAGGUUGAGGAAGACUCCAUCCAGCAGCAGCACAACGGCGUGGUGGUGAUGGAGGAGCAUGGCAAUCCUGCAGGGCUUCGCCAAGCACCGCGAGAUAUGAGGAGAAAGAGAGGGAGGGCUGCAUCAACAGGCAGAGAUCAGAUCGGGUGUUAUGGGCAGCCCCAGGCCUCACUAUAUAUAGGGGAGAGGGAGGAGGGUGCGCCCCCUCUAGGGUUCCCACCCCUAGGGGGGGCGGCAGCCCUAGAUGGGAAAGGGGAGGCGGCCAAGAGGGGGAGAGAGGGGGCGCCCCCUAGGGUGGGCCUUAGGCCCAUCUAAGCCUAGGGUUUCCCCUCUCUCCUCCUUUGCUGCGCCUUGGGCCUUGUGGGAGGCGCACCAGCCCACUUAGGGGCUGGUCCCUCACCACCCUUGGCCCAUGCAAGCCUCCGGGGCAUGUGGCCCCACUUGGUGGACCCCCGGGACCCUCCCGGUGGUCCCGGUACGUUACCGAUAAACCCCGAAACUCUUCCGGUGACCAAAACAGGACUUCCCAUAUAUAAAUCUUUACCUCCGGACCAUUCCGGAACUCCUCGUGACGUCCGGGAUCUCAUCCGGGACUCCGAACAACAUUCGGUAACCACAUACAAACUUCCUUUAUAACCCUAGCGUCAUCGAACUUUAAGUGUGUAGACCCUACGGGUUCGGGAACCAUGCAGACAUGACCGAGACACCUCUCCGGCCAAUAACCAACAGCGGGAUCUGGAUACCCAUGUUGGCUCCCACAUGUUCCACGAUGAUCUCAUCGGAUGAACCACGAUGUCAAGGACUUAAUCAAUCCCGUAUACAAUUCCCUUUGUCUAGCGGUAUUGUACUUGCCCGAGAUUCGAUCGUCGGUAUCCCUAUACCUUGUUCAAUCUCGUUACCGACAAGUCUCUUUACUCGUUCCGUAACACAUCAUCCCGUGAUCAACUCCUUGGUCACAUUGUGCACAUUAUGAUGAUGUCCUACCGAGUGGGCCCAGAGAUACCUCUCCGCUUACACGGAGUGACAAAUCCCAGUCUUGAUUCGUGCCAACCCAACAGACACUUUCGGAGAUACCUGUAGUGCACCUUUAUAGUCACCCAGUUACGUUGUGACGUUUGGUACACCCAAAGCAUUCCUACGGUAUCCGGGAGUUGCACAAUCUCAUGGUCUAAGGAAAUGAUACUUGACAUUAGAAAAGCUUUAGCAUACGAACUACACGAUCUUUGUGCUAGGCUUAGGAUUGAGUCUUGUCCAUCACAUCAUUCUCCUAAUGAUGUGAUCCCGUUAUCAAUGACAUCCAAUGUCCAUGGUCAGGAAACCGUAACCAUCUAUUGAUCAACGAGCUAGUCAACUAGAGGCUUACUAGGGACAUGGUGUUGUUUAUGUAUCCACACAUGUAUCUGAGUUUCCUAUCAAUACAAUUAUAGCAUGGAUAAUAAACGAUUAUCAUGAACAAGGAAAUAUAAUAAUAACUAAUUUAUUAUUGCCUCUAGGGCAUAUUUCCAACAGUCUCCCACUUGCACUAGAGUCAAUAAUCUAGUUCACAUCGCCAUGUGAUUAACACUCACAGGUCACAUCGCCAUGUAACCAACAUCCAAAGAGUUUACUAGAGUCUAUAAUCUAGUUCACAUCACUAUGUGAUUAACACUCAAUGAGUUCUGGGUUUGAUCAUGUUGCUUGUGAGAGAGGUUUUAGUCAACGGGUCUGAACCUUUCAGAUCCGUGUGUGCUUUACAAAUCUUUAUGUCAUCUCCUAGAUGCAGCUACCACGCUCUAUUUGGAGCCAUUUCAAAUAACUGUUCUACUUGGAGUUAUUAUAAAUAGUUGCUCCAUUAUACGUAUCCGGUAUCUCUACUCAGAGCUAUCCGGAUAGGUGUUAAGCUUGCAUCGUCGUAACUCUUUACGUCGAACUCUUUGUCACCUCCAUAACCGAGAAAAUUCCUUAGUCCACUAGUUGCUAAGGAUAACUUUGACCGCUGUACUGUGAUCCAUUCCUGGAUCACUCUUGUACCCCUUGACUGACACAUGGCAAGGCACACUUCAGGUGCGGUACACCGCAUAGCAUACUGUAGAGCCUAUGUCUUAAGCAUAGGGAACGACCUUCGUCCUUUCUCUCUAUUCUGCCAUGGUCGAGCUUUAAGUCUUAACUUCAUACCUUACAACUCAGGCAAGAACUCCUUCUUUGACUGAUCCAUCUUGAACACCUUCAAGAUCAUGUCAAGGAAUGUGCUCAUUUGAAAGUACCAUUAAGCGUUUUUAUCUAUCCUUAUAGAUCUCGAUGCUCAAUGUUCAAGUAGCUUAAUCCAGGCUUUCCAUUGAAAAACACUUUUCAAAUAACCCUAUAUGCUUUCCAGAAAUUCUACGUCAUUUCUGAUCAUCAAUAUGUCAACAACAUAUACUCAUCAGAAAUUCUAUAGUGCUCCCACUCACUUCUUUGGAAAUACAAGUUUCUCAUAAACUUUGUAUAAACCCAAAAUCUUUGAUCAUCUCAUCAAAGCGUACAUUCCAACUCCGAGUUGCUUACUCCAGUCCUUAGAAGGAUUGCUGGAGCUUUGCAUACUUAUUAGCAUCUUUCAGGAUUGACAAAACCUUCCGGUUGUAUCACAUACAACCUUUCCUCAAGAAAAUCGUCGAGGAAACAAUGUUUUGACAUCCUAUCUGCAAGAUUUCAUAAAUAAUGCAGUAAUCGCUAAUAUAAUUCCAACAGACUCUUAGCAUCGCUACGAGUGAGAAAGUCUCACCGUAGUCAACUCCUUGAACUUGUCGGGAAACACCUUAACGACAAGUCGAGCUUUCUCAAUGGUGACACUUACCAUCAUUGUAUGUCUUCCUUUUAAAAUCCAUCUGUACUCAACAGCCUUACGACCAUCAAGUAGUUCUUCCAAAGUCUACACUUUGUUUUCAUAUAUGGAUCCUCUCUCGGAUUAUAUGGCCUCGAGCCAUUUAUCGGAAUCCGGGCCCACCAUCGCUUCUCCAUAGCUCGUAGGUUCAUUGUUGUCUAGCAACAUGACUUCCAAGACAGGAUUACGUACCACUCUGAAGUAGUACGCAUCCUUGUCAUCCCACGAGGUUUGGUAGUGACUUGAUCUGAAGUUUCAUGAUCACUAUCAUAAGAUUCCACUUCAAUUGGUGUAGGUGCCACAGGAACAACUCCCUGUGCCCUGUCACACACUAGUUGAAGAGACGGUUCAAUAACCUCAUCAAGUCUCCACCAUCCUCCCACUCAAUUCUUUCGAGAGAAACUUUUCCUCGAGAAAGGACCCGAUUCCAGAAACAAUCCCUUAUUGCUUUUGGAUCAGAGAUAGGAGGUAUACCCAACUGUUUUGGGUGUCCUAUGAAGAUGUAAUUAUCCGCUUUGGGUUCGAGCUUAUCGGCCUGAAACUUUUCCACAUAAGCGUCGCAGCCCCAAACUUUUAAGAAAUGACAGCUUAGGUUUCUCUAAACCAUAGUUCAUACGGUGUCAUCUCAUCAGAAUUACGUGGUGCCCUAUUUAAAGUGAAUGUGGUUGUCUCUAAUGCCUAACCCAUAAACUAUCAUGGUAAUUCGAUAAGAGACAUCAUUGUAUGCAUCAUAUCCAAUAGGGUGCAGUUAUAAUGUUCGGACACACCAUCACACUAUGGUGUUCCAGGCUGUAUUAGUUGUGAAACAAUUUCCACAAUGUCUUAAUUCUGUGCCAAACUCGUAAUUCAGAUAUUCAUCUCUAUGACCAUAUCAUAGAUCUUCUAUCCUCUUGUCACGACGAUCUUUCAACUUCACCCUGAAAUUACUUGAACCUUUCAAUAAUUCAGACUCGUGAUUCAUCAAGUAAAUAUACUCAACAUCUACUCAAAUCAUCUGUGAAGUAAGAACAUAAUGAUAUCCACUACAUGCCUCAACACUCAUUGGACUGCACACAUCAAAAUGUAUUACUUCCAACAAGUUGCUUUCUAGUUCCAUUUUACUGAAAACGAGGCUUUCAGUCAUCUUGCCCAUGUGGCAUGAUUUGCAUGUCUCAAGUGAUUCAAAAUCAAGUGAGUCAAAACGGUCCAUUUGCAUGGAGUUUCUUCAUGCAUAUACACCAAUAGACAUGGUUCGCAUGUCUCAAACUUUUCAAAAACGAGUGAGCCCAAAGAUCCAUCAACAUGGAGCUUCUUCAUGCGUUUUAUACCGAUAUGACUUACGUGGCAGUGCCACAAGUAGGUGGUACUAUCACUACUAUCUUUUGGCAUGAACAUGUGUAUCACUACGAUCGAGAUUCAAUAAACCAUUCAUUUCAGGUGUAAGACCAUUUGAAGGUAUUAUUCAAAUAAACAGAGUAACCAUUAUUCUCUUCAAAUGAAUAACCGUAUUGCGAUAGACAUAAUCCAAUCAUGUCUAUGCUCAACGCAAACACCAAUCUCGAUGGUAGAGGGAGCGUACGAUAUUUAAUCAACCUUGAAAAUACUUCCAACACAUAUCGUCAUCUCACCUUUAGCUAGUCUCCGUUUAUUCCGUAGCUUUUAUUUCGAGUUACUAACACUUAGCAACCGAACCGGUAUCUAAUACCUUGGUGCUACUAGGAGUACUAGUAAAGUACACAUCAACACAAUGUAUAUCCAAUAUACUUCUAUCGACCUUGCCAGCCUUCUCAUCUACCAAGUAUCUAGGGUAAUUCUGCUCCAGUGGCUGUUCCCCUUAUUACAGAAGCACUUAGUCUCGGGUUUGGGUUCAACCUUGGGUUUCUUCACUAGAGCAGCAGCUGAAUUGCCGUUUCAUGAAGUAUCCCUUCGUGCCCUUGCCCUUCUUGAAACUAGUGGUUUCACCAACCAUCAACAAUUGAUGCUCCUUCUUGAUUUCUACUUUUGUGGUGUCAAACAUCGCGAAUAUCUCAAGGAUCAUCAUAUAUGUCCCUGAUAUAUUAUAGUUCAUCACGAAGCUCUAGCAGCUUGGUGGUAAUGACUUCGGAGAACCAUCACUAUUUCAUCUGGAAGAUCAACUCCCACUCGAUUCAAGCGAUUGUUGUACUCAGACAAUCUGAGCACAAGCACAACAAUUGAGCUUUUCUCCUUAGUUUGUAGGCUAAGAAAAUCAUCGGAGGUCUUUAACCUCUUGACGUGGGCACGAGCCUGAAAUCCCAAUUUCAGCCCUCGAAACAUCUCAUAUGUUUCGCGAUGUUUUAAAACGUCUUCGGUGCCUCAACUCUAAACCGUUUAACUGAACUAUCACGUAGUUAUCAAAAUGUGUAUGUCAGAUGUUCGCAACAUCCACAGACGACGUUCGAGGUUCAGCACACUGAGCAGUGCAUUAAGGACAUAAGCCUUCUAUGAAGCAAUGAGGACAAUCCUCAGUUUACGGACCUAGUCCGCAUAAUUGCUACUACCAACUUUCAACUAAAUUUUCUCUAGGAGCAUAUCUAAACAGUAGAACUAAAACGCGAGCUACGACAUAAUUUGCGAAGACCUUCUGACUAUGUUCAAGAUAAUUGAGUUCAUCUUAUGAACUCCCACUCAGAUAGACAUCCCUCUAGUCAUCUAAGUGAUUACAUGAUCCGAGUCAACUAGGCCGUGUCCGAUCAUCACGUGAGACGGACUAGUCAUCAUCGGUGAACAUCUUCAUGUUGAUUGUAUCUACCAUACGACUCAUGCUCGACCUUUCGGUCUCUUGUGUUCCGAGGCCAUGUCUGUACAUGCUAGGCUCGUCAAGUUAACCCUAAGUGUUUUGCAUGCGUAAAACUGUCUUACACCCGUUGUAUGUGAACGUAAGGAUCUAUCACACCCGAUCAUCACGUGGUGCUUCAAAACGACGAACUUUAGCAACGGUGCACAGUUAGGGGAGAACACAUUCUUGAAAUUGUAAUGAGGGAUCAUCUUAUUUACUACCGUCGUUCUAAGCAAAUAAGAUGUAUAAACAUGAUAAACAUCACAUGCAAUCAAAUAAUAGUGACAUGAUAUGGCCAAUAUCAUAUAGCUCCUUUGAUCUCCAUCUUGGGGCUCCAUGAUCAUCUUGUCACCGGCAUGACACCAUGAUCUCCAUCAUCGUGUCUUCUUGAAGUUGUCUCGUCAUCUAUUACUUCUACUACUAUGGCUAACGCUUUAGCAAUAAAGUAAAGUAAUUACAUGACGUUUAAGUUGACACGCAGGUCAUAAAUAAAUAAAGACAACUCCUAUGGCUCCUGCCGGUUGUCAUACUCAUCGACAUGCAAGUCGUGAUACCUAUUACAAGAACAUGAUCAAUCUCAUACAUCACAUAUAUCAUUCAUCACAUCCUUUUGGCCAUAUCACAUCACAUAGCAUACCCUGCAAAAACAAGUUAGACGUCCUCUAAUUGUUGUUUGCAUGUUUUACGUGGCUGCUAUGGGUUUCUAGCAAGAACGUUUCUUACCUACACAAAGACCACAACGUGAUAUGCCAAUUUCAAUUUACCCUUCAUAAGGACCCUUUUCAUUGAAUCCGAUCCGACUAAAGUGGGAGAGACAGACACCCGCUAGCCACCUUAUGCAACUAGUGCAUGUCAGUUGGUGGAACCAGUCUCACGUAAGAAUACGUGUAAGGUCGGUCCGGGCCGCUUCAUCCCACGAUGCCGCCGAAUCAAGAUAAGACUAGUAACGGCAAGCAUAUUGAACAAAAUCAACGCCCACAACUACUUUGUGUUCUACUCGUGCAUAGAAACUACGCAUAGACCUAGCUCAUGAUGCCACUGUUGGGGAACGUAGCAGAAAUUCAAAAUUUUCCUACGUGUCACCAAGAUCUGUCUAUGGAGAGACUAGCAACGAGGGGAAGGAGAGUGCAUCUAGAUACCCUUGUAGAUCGCUAAGCGGAAGCGUUCAAGUGAACGGGGUUGAUGGAGUCGUACUCGUCGUGAUCCAAAUCACCGAUGACCAAGUGCCGAAUGGACGGUACCUCCGCGUUCAACACACGUACAACCCGGUGACGUCUCCCAUGCCUUGAUCCAGCAAGGAGAGAGGGAGAGGUUGAGGAAGACUCCAUCCAGCAGCAGCACAACGGCGUGGUGGUGAUGGAGGAGCAUGGCAAUCCUGCAGGGCUUCGCCAAGCACCGCGAGAUAUGAGGAGAAAGAGAGGGAGGGCUGCAUCAACAGGCAGAGAUCAGAUCGGGUGUUAUGGGCAGCCCCAGGCCUCACUAUAUAUAGGGGAGAGGGAGGAGGGUGCGCCCCCUCUAGGGUUCCCACCUCUAGGGGGGGCGGCAGCCCUAGAUGGGAAAGGGGAGGCGGCCAAGAGGGGGAGAGAGGGGGCGCCCCCUAGGGUGGGCCUUAGGCCCAUCUAAGCCUAGGGUUUCCCCUCUCUCCUCCUUUGCUGCGCCUUGGGCCUUGUGGGAGGCGCACCAGCCCACUUAGGGGCUGGUCCCUCACCACCCUUGGCCCAUGCAAGCCUCCGGGGCAUGUGGCCCCACUUGGUGGACCCCCGGGACCCUCCCGGUGGUCCCGGUACGUUACCGAUAAACCCCGAAACUCUUCCGGUGACCAAAACAGGACUUCCCAUAUAUAAAUCUUUACCUUCGGACCAUUCCGGAACUCCUCGUGACGUCCGGGAUCUCAUCCGGGACUCCGAACAACAUUCGGUAACCACAUACAAACUUCCUUUAUAACCCUAGCGUCAUCGAACUUUAAGUGUGUAGACCCUACGGGUUCGGGAACCAUGCCGACAUGACCGAGACACCUCUCCGGCCAAUAACCAACAACGGGAUCUGGAUACCCAUGUUGGCUCCCACAUGUUCCAUGAUGAUCUCAUCGGAUGAACCACGAUGUCAAGGACUUAACCAAUCCCGUAUACAAUUCCCUUUGUCUAGCGGUAUUGUACUUGCCCGAGAUUCGAUCGUCGGUAUCCCUAUACCUUGUUCAAUCUCGUUACCGGCAAGUCUCUUUACUCGUUCCGUAACAUAUCAUCCCGUGAUCAACUCCUUGGUCACAUUGUGCACAUUAUGAUGAUGUCCUACCGAGUGGGCCCAGAGAUACCUCUCCGCUUACACGGAGUGACAAAUCCCAGUCUUGAUUCGUGCCAACCCAACAGACACUUUCGGAGAUACCUGUAGUGCACCUUUAUAGUCACCCAGUUACGUUUUGACGUUUGGUACACCCAAAGCAUUCCUACGAUAUCCGGGAGUUGCACAAUCUCAUGGUCUAAGGAAAUGAUACUUGACAUUAGAAAAGCUUUAGCAUACGAACUACACGAUCUUUGUGCUAGGCUUAGGAUUGAGUCUUGUCCAUCACAUCAUUCUCCUAAUGAUGUGAUCCUGUUAUCAAUGACAUCCAAUGUCCAUGGUCAGGAAACCGUAACCAUCUAUUGAUCAACGAGCUAGUCAACUAGAGGCUUACUAGGGACAUGGUGUUGUCUAUGUAUCCACACAUGUAUCUGAGUUUCCUAUCAAUACAAUUAUAGCAUGGAUAAUAAACGAUUAUCAUGAACAAGGAAAUAUAAUAAUAACUAAUUUAUUAUUGCCUCUAGGGCAUAUUUCCAACACCGCUAUUGGUUAUUGACCGGAGACGUGUCUCGGUCAUGUCUACAUAGUUCUCGAACCCGUAGGGUCCGCACGCUUAACGAUCGGUAUUAUGAGUUUAUGUGAUUUGAUGUACCGAAGGUAGUUCGGAGUCCCAGAUGAGAUCGGGGACAUGACGAGGAGUCUCGAAUGGUCAAGACGUAAAGAUCGAUAUAUUGGACGACUAUAUUCAAACAUCGGAAAUGUUCCGAGUGAUUCGGGUAUUUUUCGGAGUACCGGGGAGUUACGGGAGUAUGGGGAAUAAGUAUUGGGCCUCAUGGGCCAAGUGGUGGAAGAGAGGAGGCAGGGCGCUCGGCCCCCUAGCCCAAACCGAAUUGGACUAGGGGCCAGCCCCCCUUUCCUCCUUUCCUCCCUCUCCUUCCUUCUCCCUUUCCUCCUUCCUUUCCUCCUCCUAGUAGGAGUAGGAAAGGGGAGUCCUACUCCUACUAGGAGGACUCCUCCUCCUGGCGCGCCCUGCAGGGGCCGGCCGACCUCCCCCUUGCUCCUUUAUAUACGGGGGCAGGGGGCACCCUAGAACACACAAGUUGAUUGUUCCAAGCCGUGUGCGGUGCCCCCCUCCACCAUAAUCCACCUCGAUCAUAUCGUAGCGGUGCUUAGGAGACGCCUUGCGUCGGUAGAAACAUCAUCACCGUCAUCACGCCAUCGUGCUGACAGAACUCUCCCGUGGAGCUCUGCUGGAUCGGAGUUCGUGGGACAUCAUUGAGCUGAACAUGUGCUGAACUCGGAGGUGCCGUACGUUCGGUACUUGGAUCGGUCGGAUCGUGAAGACGUACGACUACAUCAAUCGCGUUCUCAUAACGCUUCCGCUUACGGUCUACGAGGGUACAUGGACGAUACUCUUCCCUCUCAUUGCUAUGCAUCACCAUGAUCUUGCGUGUGCGUAGGAUUUUUUUUUGAAAUUACUACGUUCCCUAACAGUGGCAUCCGAGCCAGGUUUAUGCAUAGAUGUUAUAUGCACGAGUAGAACACAAGUGAGUUGUGGGCGAUACAAGUCAUACUGCUUACCAGCAUGUCAUACUUUGGUUCGGCGGUAUUGUUGGAUGAAGCGGCUCGGACCGGCAUUACGCGUACGCUUACGCGAGACUGGUUCUACCGACGUGCUUCGCACACAGGUGGCUGGCGGGUGUCAGUUUCUCCAACUCUAGUUGAACCGAGUGUGACUACGCCCGAUCCUUGUUGAAGGUUAAAACAACACUAACUUGACGAAAUAUCAUUGUGGUUUUGAUGCGUAGGUAAGAACGGUUCUUGCUCAGCCCGUAGCACCUACGUAAAACUUGCAACAACAAAAUAGAGAACGUCUAACUUGUUUUUGCAGGGCAUGUUGUGAUGUGAUAUGGUCAAGACAUGAUGCUAAAUUUUAUUGUAUGAGAUGAUCAUGUUUUGUAACACAAUUAUCGACAACUGGCAGGAGCCAUAUGGUUGUCGCUUUAUUGUAUGAAAUUCAAUCGCCAUGUAAUUACUUUACUUUAUCACUAAGCGGUAGCGAUAGUCGUGGAGGCAAUAGUUGGCGUGACGACAACGAUGCUUCGAUGGAGAUCAAGGUGUCAAGCCGGUGACGAUGGUGAUCAUGACAGUGCUUUGGAGAUGGAGAUCACAGGCACAAGAUGAUGAUGGCCAUAUCAUAUUACUUAUAUUGAUUGCAUGUGAUGUUUAUCCUUUAUGCAUCUUAUCCUACUUGAUUGAUGGUAGCAUUAUAAGAUGAUCUCUCACUAAAUUUCAAGGUACAAGUGUUCUCCCUGAGUAUGCACCGUUGCCAAAGUUCGUCGUGCCGAGACACCACGUGAUGAUCGGGUGUGAUAAGCUCUACGUUCACAUACAACGGGUGCAAGCCAGUUUUGCACACGCAGAAAUACUCGGGUUAAACUUGACGAGCCUAGCAUAUGCAGAUAUGGCCUCGGAACACUGAGACCGAAAGGUCGAGCGUGAAUCAUAUAGUAGAUAUGGUCAACAUAGUGAUGUUCACCAUUGAAAACUACUCCAUUUCACGUGAUGAUCGGUCAUGGUUUAGUUGUUAUGGAUCACGUGAUCACUUAGAUGAUUAGAGGGAUGUCUAUCUAAGUGGGAGUUCUUAAAUACGAUUAAUUGAACUUUAAUUUAUCAUGAACUUAGUACCUGAUAGUAUUUUGCUUGUCUAUGUUGUUGUAGAUAGAUGGCCCGUGCUGUUGUUCCAUUGAAUUUUAAUGCGUUCUUUGAGAAAGAAAAGUUGAAAGAUGAUGGUAGCAAUUACACGGACUGGGUCCGUAACUUGAGGAUUAUCCUCAUUGCUGCAUAGAAGAAUUACGUCCUGGAAGCACCACUAGGUGCCAAACCCGCUGCAGGAGCAACACCAGAUGUUAUGAACGUCUGGCAGAGCAAAGCUGAUGACUACUUGAUAGUUCAGUGUGCCAUGCUUUACGGCUUAGAACCGGGAUUUCAACGACAUUUUGAAUGUCAUGGAGCAUAUGAGAUGUUCCAUGAGUUGAAGUUAAUAUUUCAAGCAAAUGCCCGGAUUGAGAGAUAUGAAGUCUCUAAUAAGUUCUACAGCUGCAAGAUGGAGGAGAAUAGUUCUAUCAAUGAACAUAUACUCAGAAUGUCUGGGUACCAUAACCACUUGACUCGACUGGGAGUUAAUCUUCCUGUUGAUAGUGUCAUUGGCAGAGUUCUUCAAUCACUACCACCAAGCUACAAGAGCUUCGUGAUGAACUAUAAUAUGCAAGGGAUGGAUAAGAUGAUUCCCGAGCUCUUCGCAAUGCUAAAAGCUACGGAGGUAGAAAUCAAGAAGGAGCAUCAAGUGUUGAUGGUCAACAAGACCACCAGUUUCAAGAAAAAGGGUAAAGGGAAGAAGAAAGGGGACUUCAAGAAGAACGGCAAACAAGUUGCUGCUCAAGAGAAGAAAUCCAAGUCCGGACCUAAGCCUGAGACUGAGUGCUUCUACUGCAAAGGGACUGGUCACUGGAAGCGGAACUGCCCCAAGUAUCUGGCGGAUAAGAAGGAUGGCAAGGUGAACAAAGGUAUAUGUGAUAUACAUAUUAUUGAUGUGUACCUUACUAAAGCUUGCAGUAGCACCUGGGUAUUUGAUACUAGUUCUGUUGCUAAUAUUUGCAACUCGAAACAGGGACUAUGGAUUAAGCGAAGAUUGGCUAAGGAUGAGGUGACGAUGCGCGUGGGAAAUGGUUCCAAAGUCGAUGUGAUCGCCGUUGACACGCUACCUCUACAUCUACCUUCGGGAUUAGUUUUAGACCUGAAUAAUUGUUAUUUGGUGCCAGCGUUGAGCAUGAACAUUAUAUCUGGAUCCUGUUUGAUGCGAGACGGUUAUUCAUUUAAAUCAGAGAAUAAUGGUUGUUCUAUUUAUAUGAGUAAUAUCUUUUAUGGUCAUGCACCCUUGAAGAGUGGUAUAUUUUUAAUGAAUCUCGAUAGUAGUGAUACACAUAUUCAUAAUGUUGAAGCCAAAAGUCGCAGAGUUGAUAAUGAUAGUGCAACUUAUUUGUGGCACUGCCGUUUAGGUCAUAUUGGUGUAAAGCGCAUGAAGAAACUCCAUUCUGAUGGACUUUUGGAAUCACUUGGUACUUGCGAAUCAUGCCUCAUGGGCAAGAUGACUAAAACGCCGUUCUCCGGAACUAUGGAGCGAGCAACAGAUUUGUUGGAAAUCGUACAUACUGAUGUAUGUGGUCCGAUGAAUAUUGAGGCUCGCGGCGGGUAUCGUUAUUUUCUCACCUUCACAAAUGAUUUGAGCAGAUAUGGGUAUAUCUACUUGAUGAAACAUAAGACUGAAACAUUUGAAAAGUUCAAAGAAUUUCAGAGUGAAGUGGAAAAUCAUCGUAAUAAGAAAAUAAAGUUUCUAUGAUCUGAUCGUGGAGGAGAAUAUUUGAGUUACGAGUUUGGUCAUCAUCUGAAAAAAUGCGGAAUAGUUUCGCAACUCACGCCACCCGGAACACCACAACGUAAUGGUGUGUCCGAAUGUUGUAAUCGUACUUUACUAGAUAUGGUGCGAUCUAUGAUGUCUCCUACCGAUUUACCGCUAUCAUUUUGGGGUUACGCUUUAGAGACAACUGCAUUCACGUUAAAUAGGGCACCAUCUAAAUUCGUUGAGACGACGCCUUAUGAACUAUGGUUUGGCAACCAAAGUUGUCGUUUCUUAAAGUUUGGGGUUGCGAUGCUUAUGUGAAAAAGCUUCAACCUGAUAAGAUCGAACCCAAAUCAGAGAAAUGUGUCUUCAUAGGAUACCCAAAGGAGAUUGUUGGGUACACCUUCUAUCACAGAUCCGACGGCAAGACAUUUGUUGCUAAGAAUGGAUCCUUUCUAGAGAGGGAGUUUCUCUCGAAAGAAGUGAGCGGUAGGAAACUUGAACUUGAUGAGGUAAAUGUACCUUCUACCUUAUUGGAAAGUAGUCCAUCACAGAAACCAGUUCCUGUGACACCUACACCAAUUAGUGAGGAAGCCAAUGAUGAUGAUCAUGAAACUUCAGAUCAAGUUACUACCGAACCUCGUAGGUCAACCAGAGUAAGAUCCGCACCAGAGUGGUACGGUAAUCCUAUUUUGGAGGUCAUGUUACUUGACCAUGACGAACCUACGAACUAUGAGGAAGCGAUGAUGAGCCCAGAUUCCACAAAAAUGGCUUGAGGCCAUGAAAUCUGAGAUGGGAUCCAUGUAUGAGAACAAAGUGUGGACUUUGGUUGACUUGCCCGAUGAUCGGCAAGCCAUCGAGAAUAAAUGGAUCUUCAAGAAGAAGACUGACGCUGAAGGUAACGUUACUGUCUACAAAGCUCGACUUGUUGCGAAAGGUUUUCGACAAGUUCAAGGAGUUGACUACGAUGAGACCUUCUCACCCGUAGCGAUGCUUAAGUCCGUCUGAAUCAUGUUAGUAAUUACCGCAUUUUAUGAUUAUGAAAUUUGGCAAAUGGAUGUAAAGACUGCAUUCCUGAAUGGAAUUCUGGAAGAAGAGUUGUAUAUGAUGCAACCUAAAGGUUUUAUCGAUCCAAAGGGUGCUCACAAAGUGUGCAAGCUCCAGCGAUCCAUUUAUGGACUAGUGCAAGCCUCUCGGAGUUGGAAUAAAUGUUUUGAUAGUGUGAUCAACUCAUAUGGUUUUAUAUAGACUUUUGGAGAAGCCUGUAUUUACAAGAAAAUGAGUGGGAGCUCUGUAGCAUUUCUAAUAUUAUAUGUGGAUGACAUAUUGUUGAUUGGAAAUGAUAUAGAAUUUCUGGAUAGCAUAAACGGAUACUUGAAUAAGAGUUUUUCAAUGAAAGACCUCGGUGAAGCUGCUUAUAUAUUGGGCAUCAAGAUCUAUAGAGAUAGAUCAAGAUGCUUAAUUGGACUUUCACAAAGCACAUACCUUGAUAAAGUUUUGAAGAAGUUCAAAAUGGAUCAAGCUAAGAAAGGGUUCUUGCCUGUGUUACAAGGUGUGAAGUUGAGUAAGACUCAAUGCCCAACCACUGCAGAAGAUAGAGAGAAAAUGAAAAAUGUUCCCUAUGCUUCAGCCAUAGGCUGUAUCAUGUAUGCAAUGCUGUGUACCAGACCUGAUGUGUGCCUUGCUAUUAGUUUAGCAAGGAGGUAUCAAAGUAAUCCAGGAGUGGAUCACUGGACAACAGUCAAGAACAUUCUGAAAUACCUGAAAAGGACUAAGGAUAUGUUUCUCGUUUAUGGAGGUGACAAAGAGCUCGUCGUAAAUGGUUACGUCGAUGCAAGCUUUGACACUGAUCCAGACGAUUCUAAAUCGCAAACCAUAUACAUGUUUUUAUUGAACGGUGGAGCUGUCAGUUGGAGCAGUACUAAACAAAGCAUCGUGGCAGGAUCUACGUGUGAAGCGGAGUACAUAGCUGCUUCGGAAGCAGCAAAUGAAGGAGUCUGGAUGAAGGAUUUCAUAUCCAAUCUAGGUGUCUUACCUAGUGCAUCGGGUCCAAUGAAAAUCUUUUGUGACAAUAUUGGUGCAAUUGCCUUGGCAAAGGAAUCCAGAUUUCACUAGAGAACCAAACACAUCAAGAGACGCUUCAAUUCCAUCCGCGAUCAAGUCCAGGUGGGAGACAUAGAGAUUUGCAAGAUACAUAUGGAUUUGAAUGUUGUAGACCCAUUGACUAAGCCUCUCUCACGAGCAAAACAUGAUCAACACCAAGACUCCAUGGGUGUUAGAAUCAUUACUGUGUAAUCUAGAUUAUUGACACUAGUGCAAGUGGGAUAUUGAAGGAAAUAUGCCCUAGAGGCAAUAAUAAAGUUAUUAUUUAUUUCCUUAUUUCAUGAUAAAAGUUUAGUAUUCAUGCUAGAAUUGUAUUAACUAGAAACAUAAUACAUGUGUGAAUAGAUAGACAAACAGAGUGUCACUAGUAUGCCUCUACUUGACUAGCUCGUUGAUCAAAGAUGGUUAUGUUUCCUAACCAUAGACAUGAGUUGUCAUUUGAUAAAUGGGAUCACAUUAUUAGGAGAAUCAUGUGAUUGACUUGACCCAUUCCGUUAGCUUAGCACUUGAUCGUUUUAGUUUACUGCUAUUGCUUUCUUCAUGACUUAUACAUGUUCCUAUGACUACGAGAUUAUGCAACUCCCUAUUACCGGAGAAACACUUUGUGUGCUACCAAAUGUCACAACGUAACUGGGUGAUUAACAAGGUGCUCUACAGGUGUCUCCAAUGGUACUUGUUGAGUUGGCAUAGAUCGAGAUUAGGAUUUAUCACUCCGAUUGUUGGAGAGGUAUCUCUGGGCCCUCUUGGUAAUGCACAUCACUAUAAGCCUUGCAAGCAAUGCAACUAAUGAGUUAGUUGCGGGAUAAUGCAUUACGGAAACGAGUAAAGAGACUUGCCGGUAACGAGAUUGAACUAGGUAUUGAGAUACCGACGAUCGAAUCUCGAGCAAGUAACAUACCGAUGACAAAGGGAACAACGUAUGUUGUUAUGCGGUUUGACCGAUAAAGAUCUUCGUAGAAUAUGUAGGAUCCAAUAUGAACAUCCAGGUUCCUCUAUUGGUUAUUGACCGGAGAUGUGUCACGGUCAUGUCUACAUAGUUCUUGAACCCAUAGGGUCCGCACGCUUAACGUUCGGUGACGAUCAGUAUUAUGAGUUUAUGUGAUUUGAUGUACCAAAGGUAGUUAGGAGUCCCGUAUGAGAUCGGGGACAUGACGAGGAGUCUCGAAAUGGUCAAGACAUAAAGAUCAAUAUAUUGGACGACUAUAUUCGGACAUCGGAAAGGUUCCGAGUGAUUCAGGUAUUUUUCGGAGUACUGGGGAGUUAUGGGAAUACGGGGAAUAAGUAUUGGGCCUCAUGGGCCAAGUGGUGGAAGAGAGGAGGCAGGGCGCGCGACCCCCCUAGCCCAAACCGAAUUGGACUAGGGGGCCGGCCCCCCUUUCCUCCUUUCCUCCCUAUCCUUCCUUCUCCCUUUCCUCCUUCCUUUCCUCCUCCUAGUAGGAGUAGGAAAGGGGAGUCCUACUCCUACUAGGAGGACUCCUCCUGCUGGCGCGCCCUACAGGGGCCGGCCGGCCUCCCCCUUGCUCCUUUAUAUACGGGGGCAGGGGGCACCCUAGAACACACAAGUUGAUUGUUCCAAGCCGUGUGCGGUGCCCCCCUCCACCAUAAUCCACCUCGAUCAUAUCGUAGCGGUGCUUAGGAGACGCCCUGCGUCGGUAGCAACAUCAUCACCGUCAUCACGCCAUCGUGCUGACAGAACUCUCCCGUGGAGCUCUGCUGGAUCGGAGUUCGUGGGACAUCAUUGAGCUGAACGUGUGCUGAACUCGGAGGUGCCGUACGUUCGGUACUUGGAUCGGUCGGAUCGUGAAGACGUACGACUACAUCAAUCGCGUUCUCAUAACGCUUCCGCUUACGGUCUACGAGGGUACAUGGACGAUACUCUUCCCUCUCAUUGCUAUGCAUCACCAUGAUCUUGCGUGUGCGUAGGAUUUUUUUUUGAAAUUACUACGUUCCCUAACAGUGGCAUCCGAGCCAGGUUUAUGCAUAGAUGUUAUAUGCACGAGUAGAACACAAGUGAGUUGUGGGAGAUACAAGUCAUACUGCUUACCAGCAUGUCAUACUUUGGUUCGGCGGUAUUGUUGGAUGAAGCGGCUCAGACCGGCAUUACGUGUACGCUUACGCGAGACUGGUUGUACCGACGUGCUUCGCACACAGGUGGUUGGCGGGUGUCAGUUUCUCCAACUCUAGUUGAACCGAGUGUGAAGAAAAGAAAUGAGGGGAGAGAAGAUGAAAAGAAAUGCAACGUUUAUAAAGAGAAAAAAAUGUUUAUGUUCUCAUGAAGAAAAACCGACAUGUCCUGCCUCGCCCUUGCUGCAGGCAGAGAUCGGUCAUCAAUCUGAAUUAACUGUUUGCUGCAUGCGUGCGUCAAGCAAGUUGAUCAUCAAUUGAUUGAUCAGGAGACUCGUCGUAUGUGUGGGAGGAGCGAGGAGGAAAUGAAUUGAAGGCAUUGGUGGUCGUAGCAGCUGGAUCGUAUUGAUUUGCAGGGAGGGGCGCGAGAAUCUAAUCGAUGAAGUAGCUCAAAUCUGCGAGAGGCAGCGUCGGGGAUGAGGAAGCGAUGGCGGGAGUGGUGGUACCCUUGAUGCCAUGCAACGACUACUGCUCGUCAUCGAGGUGCCUGCUCAAGGCCUUCACCCUGCUCCUUGUCUUCCUCACCGGCGUCCUCAUCGACAUCGCCGCCAGCACCAACAUCUCCCUCUAUUACUACUACACCAUCACGUCGUUGCUCAUCUUAACCAACAGUCCCACAUCGCCGUCGGCGAUCACCACCAUGGCCAUGGUGGGGCAGCAGAUCAGCCAGCCGUUCAUGUAGUUCGUGCACCUGGAGUCACCCAAGGGCCACUCCAUGAUAACCGAGGAGUUCUUCUGGCACGCCUCCAUGGUGCCGCCGGCGGCUCCGACAACGGCCUGCCUCCAGGUCAGCGCCCCGCCCGGUCGCUGCUCCCUCUCCUCCACUUCUUCCUCCCACGUCUCAAUCUCUCUGUCCAGUACCUGCGCCCACAAUCUUCGCUUCUCCCGCACGCGCACAUGCAUAGAUGAGUUAGUGACCGCUACAUGCGAAAUCGACGCCAUCCAGUGCAUUUGGCAGUUUUACAAAAACGAUUCGGUGUGCCACAUACAUAUUUCGUAUCUUUUUUACCAUCUUAAUUGUUGGUUUCAGUUUCAUCCAUUAAUAAGUCUAUAUUUUGCUUCAAUCUGACCAGUUCUUGAAAUUAGGAUAUAGUACCAGCUUUGAUAUCGCAUUGAAAUCUAUGCACCAACUUGUUUACCGAAAAGAGUUUGUGUGCUUGAUCUAGUCUGGCAAAAAAAUGAGUUUUUAGGGGAAUGUUUGGUUACCCUUCUGCAUAACUAUAUUCUGUAUAUAGUUUGAUUGUGUGCAAGGCUAAUAAGAAACGUAUGCAUGGCUAAGAAGAAACACAUGCGAGACUGUUUAGUUACAAGCAUGCUGUUUGAUUAUGUGUGCACGGAUGAGAUGAUUGAACUCAUCUACUGUAUUAUUCACAUGGUAAACUGAUCUCACGUGGGAGCAAGGUGCUGAAGGGAGAAGAGAAGGACCGGCUCGAGGUAGAAAAGGGUGCCACAGCCCUCAAAUGCCCAUCCAAGGGUCACGAAAUUGACUGGGUGUGGAUUGCUUUCCAGGCGACUUCCAAGGGUCACAAAAUUGACUGGGUAUGGAUUGCUUUCCAGGCGACUUUGGCGCCUAGGUAUGGCGCAUUUUAUAGUAGGGAGACAGAUAUACUCGAAAGUUGUGUGAAAUGGUCGGACUAAAGGGAACCACUAGGGGUCAGACUACCGAUCCCUAGCUUCCCAUCAGACCAGCGCAUGGCCGUUCGAUCAAACUUUCUUGAGAGCAUCGCUAUGGGUGAGAAGGUCUCAUCGUAGUCAAUUUCCUGAACUUGUCGAAAAUCUUUCACAACAAGUCGAGCUUUGUAGACAGUAACAUUACCAUCAGCGCCAGUCUUCUUCUCGAAGAUUCAUUUAUUCUCUAUUGCUUGCUGAUCAUCAGGCAAGUCAAUCAAAGUUCACACUUUGUUCUAAUACAUGGAUCCCGUCUCAGAUUUCAUGGCCUCAAGCCAUUUCACGGAAUCUGGGCUCAUCAUCGCUUCCUCAUAGUUUGUAGGUUCAUCAUGGUCAAGUAACAUGACCUCCAGAACAGGAUUACCGUACCACUCUGGUGCGGAUCGUACUCUGGUUGACCUACGAGGUUCGGUAGUAACUUGAUUAGAGGUUUCAUGAUCAUCAUCAUUAGCUUCCUCACUAAUUGGUGUAGGAAUCACUCGAACUAAUUUCUGUGAUGACCUACUUUCCAAUAAGGGAUAAGGUACAAUUAACUCAUCAAAUUCUACUUUCCUCCCACUCACUUUUUUCGAGAGAAACUCCUUCUCUAGAAAUGAUCCAUUCUUGGCAACUGAUAUCUUGCCUUCGGAUCUGUGAUAGAAGGUGUACCCAAUAGUCUCCUUUGGGUAUCCUAUGAAGACACAUUUCUCUGAUUCUGGUUGUCCUAAGUUUCCGGUUAAUACAAUUCUAGCAUGAUAAUAAACAUUUAUCAUGAUAUAAGGAAAUAUAAAUAACAACUUUAUUAUUGCCUCUAGGGCAUAUUUCCUUCAGUUCAUACGUCCAGUCGGAUCAUCCGGGCCCCCUCCUGGAUCAUCUAGCUACGAUGACCGAAGACAACGUCACGCUCCACCGCGAAGUUGGAUCAUCCAAGACAUUGUCCGAAUCAUCCAAAAGAUGCUCGGAUCAUCCGGGAUCCCACCCGGAUCAUCCAGCCAGCCUGCGUGCUAUUUGGGCUUUUGUCCUUGUAUCCUCCCUAUCUUGCCCCUCACUUGCCCCUUUGUGGCUAGCAGUAUAAAUAAACCUACCCACCUCAUUUAUAGGGAUAGCUAAGAUUAGAACUACAAAUUGGAGCUUAGCUCAUCUACCUCCCUUUGUGGGAUUCCUCUUGAGAGAGAAGACUCCAUUGGAGUGCAAGACCUCCAUAUGGAGAAGAUCCCUAGUGGAUGCAAGACCUCCACAUGUGCAGAAGGAUCUAUCUCCGAUCAUCAAGACCUCAUAUCCUCUUGGAUUUGGGAUGAACUCUACCUUGGAUCUUGUUCCCUUUGAUUAUUCAUGUACCUUGUGAAUCUUAUGUGUUUUUUAGUCUAGUGGAUGUGUAAUUGGACUUGCUCUUGAGUGUUUCUCCUGUGAUUUCUUCGUGUUCUUCCCCGUGUUCUUCGUGGAAUCCCCCUCCAAUUCGUGAAAGAUCACCAAUUAAGGUCUCCACCCUACAUCAUCUUAGAUUAGAUCUUAUUUCUCACGAAUUUGGAGUCCACCCCUUCGUAUUCUAGCCUAUUUUUUGCUUGAUUUUGUCCCAAUUCAAAAAUCCCCACCAAAAAUAGCCAUACCAAUUUCUUUUGCAUUUUGUUGGUUCUUUUGAGAUUUUGUUGUGCUUGAUCCACAAUUUUGUUGUUUUGCAAGUGGAUCUUGGCAUUCCCCACCUCCCCACCAUGAAAUUCAUCCAUUUUUUCUCCACCAUCAAUUUUGACCCCAAAAUCACGAAAUUCCGCCCCAAAUCAAGUUUCAAGGUCCAAAUCCCGAUCUGGAAUCGUUGGGCCAGAUAUCAGGGCCACCGCCGGACAUCCGACACCCCGAUAUGGAAUCGUUGGGCCCGAUCUGGAAUCGUUCGGCCAGAUAUCAGGGCCAGAUAUCAGUGCAAAAACAGGCGAGUUUCUGGACACAGGACCCUGGAAAUCCGGCCUCCCCUAGGAUGUCCGAUCCUUGGAGAUUUCAGCCAACAAUGUUUCACCGUUUCAGCCAUAAUUUCACAUCCGGAGUCCGAUUUUGACGUUCUUUAGCGCGUUGGAUAGCUAUUGACAUCCACCAUCCAUCUAGAUAGGUUCCAUCACCAUUUGACUUCAUCAAAAUUUCACCAUUUUGGCAUCUUUGCCUACGCCCUCCACCAUAUCAUCUGCAUUACCACCAUUGACUUCCGCAACCUAACCCAUUUUGAUCUCCAUUUCAUUUAUGGUUGCUUGAGUUGUGAUUCGAGUCUCCUAAGGUGUUUCGGCUACUUAGGGACGGCUACAAAGACAAAAAGGAAGUUGGCCCAAGACGAAGAGAGCUAUGCUGCGAGAGUUUUCACCUUCCACCUACACAGAACAUCUUCUAUGCCAAUUGGAGAACACCAUGCAAGGAUCCAAGUCCCUCGACGAGUACUUCAAGGAGAUGAAGAAAGCCUUGCGACGAGCCGGCGUGGAUGACCCCAUUUGGAUGAAGUUCCACUUUAUGAUGGGAUUGAACAACGACAUCUCCAAGACAAUCUUCCUCGAGAAUUACAAGUCUCUCGAUGACGUCUACAUUGGUGCACUCAAGGUGCAACAAGAACUCAUGAAGGCCAAGGCUUCUCCACCCCAAACAUACUUCACGAGGACCAAGCUCCAAGACAAUGAGCAUGACGAUAAUACCACCAUGAUGUCCAUGCCCGAUGAGCUCCAAAACGACGCUCCCAAGUUUGACUUCACCACCAUCCCUCUUUGUGGCAUUGACGAUGUUGAGUCUACCACGACUCUUUUUGAAGACGACGCGACAACGACUACAAGUAUGGAGCCUCUCAAGGACUAUGCUUUGGAGGCGAGGAGCAUGGUGGCCAGCAAGGAUGUUUCUUCCAUCUUUGGAGGCGAGAGUGAGAUGAUCGAGCAUAGCAUUUUCCUUUUGGUCAUGGCCGUGAGUGAUGAUGUGCCAUCUACGAUGAUAGUGACGAGACGGUUGAGCAUGGGAUUUUCCCCUCGACCACAUUGGCGUUUGGAGACGAGUUGCGAGACUUGUGCCACCAUAUUGAGAGUGAGAGCGAGUUCGCCACUAGCCCCAUAUAUGAUGAGAUGCCCCAAUUCCCAUGUGAGGAGAGGCACAACCCCCACCAGUUAGAUGAGUGACUCCACCGUAUAUAACUUUGAGUGCACCUACCUUGAGUGAUGGUGUCCUGGAAUAAGGGGUACCAACCUAGUUGGCCCACUGUCCAUGGCCGAGCUUAUGGCCAACCAAUCUCGCAAGAAAGGACUCGAAAGCCUCAAACUCAUGCGUGAUCAAAACGGACUAUGCCGAAGACUUGGCAUGUUCUUCAAGGACUAUACCACCUAUCGACAUGUUUAUCCCUAGUUGACAACCGACCAUAUGUAACCCUAGCUAAUCCUGGUGUCUAUAUAAACUGGAGGGUUUAGUUCGUAAAGAGGGUACAAUCAUCUCCACUAGGGUUUAGUACACAACAUACGACCUCUUGGUAGAUCAAGUCUAUUUUCGAUACACCAUCAUCACUGUAAUCAAGCAGGACGUAUGGUUUUACCUCUUUGAGAGGGCCCGAACCUGGGUAAAACAUCGUGCCCUUCGUCUCCUAUUCCCACUGUUCCUAGAUCCACAGUCCGGGACCACCUACCCGAGAUCUUCCAGUUUUAGUACCAACAUUGUUGCUUUCAUUAAGAGUUCUACUGUGUGAUUGAAAAAAGGAUCAAUGGCUCGCUUGCAGAUCAAGUACGACAUCGGCUGCGGUGACAUCUUUGUCCCUGUCCAACUUUAAGCGUUUGGAAGCAUUGUUUGCACGCUGAUUCGACCGGUCAUCUUCAUCAUGUUGAAAGCUUCGUGCUGAACCAAGUCAUUACGUUCGGGAGCUUGGAAUACGCGGUGAUCUCGCCCUCUCUGGCUGGAGGCCAGGUCGUCUCGAGAACUCUUCGGGCACCACAACCCUAACCCCGGAGCUGGCAUUUGAUCCAAACCUCGGAUCGAAUGUCGCAUCAGACCCAACCUUGAGUACGGACCUGAUCGCCUGUGCGUCAGACCCAACAUCGAACUCAGAUCUGGCCACCAUUUCAUUGAAUCCCGACCUCGAGUUGAGUCCAAGCUCAGAGCCAGCAUUAAGACCAGAUCCGAUCUCUUCACCAGUUAGCCAAGGAUCAACCCUGGCUGACCCAAACUCCGAAGUUGCAUCAAGCAACCCACAGAACGUGCUUCAAAUUAGCCCGACUUAUAGUCACGCCAUGGACACCAAGGAACUUUUGCACCUAAAUGAGAUGCUAGAUCACAUCCAAAGACUUUCAAUCUCAGAUGAUCGGACCUUGCUUUAUGACGAGAUCAGAUGUAAAGCCGAUGAUAGGGAAAUUUACGUCCCACCCACCACUCACCUAGUCGCUACGGUCGCAGACUUAACUGACGUACUGAACUACGACUCCAACGAGGCGGCCGACAUGGAUGAAGAUGUCGGCGACACAUCGCGAGCGGCUUCGCCUACAACCAUACCACAUACUGGCAGCCGGGCCGCGACCUCCAGUUACGACGUCUACAUGGUCGCCACCCCUAAGGAUGUGUCGAAACCUAAGGGUGAUGAGGAGAAAAAAAGAGAUUCUCGAAACUAUGCCAUCCUCAGAGGCGACCCGAGGGUGCCGACAGAGGCAAGGAGAGCCAAAUCAACAAUACAAAUGCCACCGACAAUGGUACCACCGCAGGCAGCGUCGAGGACCAGGGCGACAACAAUAAUGCCACGCCUGGCCAGCCUAACGGCCCUAUAGGGGUCUCUGAUAACGAGGACCCCGAUAAUCCUGAGGAUGGAGAGGAUAGUAACUACCUCCCCGAAUUCGUGAUGGAUGUCAGCCUCGGACCCGGGGAUUUUAUCGUCCCCGAGGACCCCUAUGAGCAAGAAAGGUUCAUGCGAUACGAUGACCCAUAUCAUGAAAAACAAAUAGUCAGCAAGAAGCUGAUCAAAACACCCUCAACGAAAAAUGGGCAUGGUUCUCAAAACCGAACAUGACUUGUAGCUGCGGCAUGAAGCGCAAGCCAAGUCCUCCCAUGUAGGCAUCUUCUCCUAGAGUUCGACGAAGUCACCAAACAGGUGCCAUUCAUGCACGACCGAGCUAACCAACCUAACCGACCUCCUCAGGGGUGCGACAGGCUAGCGGCCGAAAAUAGAACUCCCCCAUACCUUGCCGUGAAGGCAAGGACCCAGUCCAUUACCCUAAGCCGUCCGACUUGCGAAUGUGAUUAAACGCAAACUCUGUCUUGACAAGAUCCAUUUACGUAUCCCGAGGACACACACCUGUUGGUCAGGUCGGCUACGAAGCCAAGUUAGAUAGGCAUGGUAGGGCUCGGGAGCAAGCGUAUCCUCGGAUACCAAUCAAUAUCAGGCAUGCCAUGACUCAUUUUUGAGGGCUUGCACAUCCAAUAUGGUUUACAGAUGAGGUCAGGGAACAUUAGUUCCCCGAAGGGUUUAAACCUGUAAACAUCGAAGCUUACAACAGAACUACUUACCCGACUGUGUGGAUUGAGGAUUUCCUUCUCCACAUUCAUAUGGCACGGGAAGAUGAUCUCCAUGCCAUCAAAUACCUACCGCUGUAGCUCAAAGGAUCGGCUAGGCAUUGGCUUAACAGCCUGCCCGAGGGCUCUAUUGGGAGCCGGGAGCAAAUUGAAGAUGCCUUCAGGGAAAACUUCCAGGGCACGUAUGUCCGACAUCCGGACGCCAAUGACCUCAACCACAUAAUUCAGCAGCCUGGCGAGUUCGCCAGGAAAUUCCGGAAUCGGUUCAUAACUAAAAAGAACCAGAUGGUCGAAUGUCCUGGCGCAGAAGUGAUUGUCGCUUUUCGGCAUAGUAUCUGGGACGAGUAGCUGGCACGACAGCUCGGACAAGAUAGGCCGAGAACCAUGGCGGCUCUUACCUCUCUUAUGACCUGCUUUUACCUUCAGAGAGCAUCAUGCAUCAUGUCUAAAUUUCUGAAACUUAAACGGAGGAAUUUUAAAGCCUCAACAAUUUAAAUAAAAGAAGGGCAAAAACCCUAAAGGAAAAAAAUGCAUUCAGUAGAUCCAUGAUGUCCCUUUUUAAGUUUUGAUAUUUUUGGGAAUAGUUAAUAUUUAAACCAAAAUUUUUGAACUUUUAAAAGGAUUAUUUUUGGACUUUGAAUUUAAGUCAUAUUGUAUUUGGAUUGAGUUUAUAUUGCUAUUAAAUAAAAAUAUAAACUCAAAAUACUUGAAACUUUGCAUGUGCACAUGGAAGGGGCCAUAGUGAUCACAUAUAAAAUUUUAGAGAGUUUGCAAUUUAUUUGGACGCUUCGAAUAAAUUAUAAAUUUUUUGCAUAAAAGAAAAACAGAAAACAAAAUAGGAAAAGAAAAAGACACACAGAGAGAGAAUACCUGCAGCCCAGCAGCUAGGCCCAGCCCACCCGCAGUCGCCAACCAUCUUCUCCAUCGUGCCAGGAGGACGAGCGCGCGUGGUCGCCGCGUGCGGGCACAAGCCCGUGCCACCUCCACCCUGCAUGCGUGUCCCCUCGACGGCCUGGACGUCCCUGGAGUCGCCACACAGUCCCCUCCGCUCUCUCUCACUCUCCCCUGCCCCAAUCCUCGAAUCUGCUCUCUCCCCAGCUGUCGCCCGAGCGCCUCACAGAGCACCGCUCCUCGCUGACACAGCCACCGAGCUUCCCGGGCCGCUUACCGUGUCCCAAAGCACCGCAGCCCCGUCGCCGACCUCAUCACCAAGCCACGCAACUGGACACACCCCACAAUGACCUCCUCGACCUCGUCUUCAAGCUCCGGCUGCAGAGAUCGCCAGUGCCAGUCCGUCGCCGACUGUGCCUCCCUGAGCCCGCCGUCCAUCCCGUUCGAACCGCCAUGAGCUCCUACUUCUAACCCCUAUCAUCCCCGCGUUAUUUGCACCGCAUACCCGCAAAUUCCAUCGAAGCCGAGAGCUCGGCUAUGCCGGCCAUGUCCCCGCCGUGGCCACAACCACGUAAGCUUGAAACCGAGCGCGUCACCCUGCUCAGGGCAUCCCCAGGAGCCCAAAACACCCACCCGUUGCUCCUGCCAUGCACCACAUCGCCGAAACCAUCGAGUUCCAAACUCCAGACACCGCACUCGAGGUCACCUCCGUCGUUUUAGGUUGUCUCCUACGGAACUAAUGACACCACUCGACACACAUGUGCACCAGCUACUCGUAGAUGGUCUCCGCUGUCCAUUUGGCCAUCGGAGCAUGAUACCCGCACUUCACCGCCGCGUUUGGCCUCGUCGGCGGCUAGACGCCGGUGUGUUUGACCCUGUUGUUUAGGGGUUUGACCUGCCCUGGAUCACUGACAUGUGGGCCCAUGGCCCUAACGAAUUUAGGUUUAGGUUAGCCUAGACACUGACAUGCGUGUCCCACUGGUCAGUUUGACCUAGACCGCCUCUGUUAACUGCUCAUGCCAUCGUGACAUCAUGUGAAACUGUAAAAUCAUUUUUUGGUUUUAGUUUAAUUUGAAAUAACCAGGAAGUUCGAAAAAUGGUUUCAACUGCAAAAUAUCAUAUAAAAUCAACCUCAAAUGAAAAAUAUUUAUAUACAAAAAAUGAUUAGAAAAAUCCAAUAUAUCCAGUGGUAUUGUCUUCAUGCAAGAAAAAGACAAGUUAUACCUACCGAUCAGGUUAAAUCAAUUAAAUGGUAUUUGAAAUACCAUAUAAGGGGGUUGACUUUGAACCCUUGGUUCAAACCAACUCAAACCAAUAUGUUGCUAGUUGCAUUAUCUCAAACACACACAUUUUGCCAUGUCAUGAUCAUGCAUCAUAAUGUAGCAUAUUGUCAUGUAUUGAUUGUGCCUUCGGUUGCACUCCGCGGUAGGUUCUGCUCCCGAGGAUAUCCACGAGUGUCCAGCUGAAGGGCAGUACCCUUCUACCACCCUGCCAGGCAAGCAACCCCCAUUAAACAUUCCUAUACAAUCCCAUCCUAUCGUUCCUUCUCUCUUUUGCUACAUUAGGACAACAACAUUUCAACUACUACUUGCUGCGGUAGUUGAAUCCCUUUUCCUCUGCAUGACCUAUCAUUGCCACUGUAAAUAGCUGAAACCCACUAGCAUAUGUAGGAGUUGAGUGAGCCAUGUUGUGAUCCUACCAUGCUAUGCUUACUAUGCUUAGAGUUGUGUGAGGCUUGGUUCAUCUAGGUGAUGGAUUGGAGUGAAAUGGUUAUGUUCUAGUAAUGAGAGUGAAGUGUUGAACCUGUUAUGGUAAAGGUAUCGUUGAGAGGCCAUGCAUGAGUACAUGGUGGGUUGUUUCAUUAGAACCGUCCUUAAGAACCGAGUUCCGUGUAUGUGAUCCAAGACUAGCUACUACCACAGAUUGGGAUCCUUAAUUGACUCUCUCAACUUAUUUAUUUCCUUGAUCUCUGUACAGGAGUUGAAAGUAGUUUAUGGUGUUUGUAGUAUGCUGGAGCCAAGUGUAGCACUGACCCUAGGGGUGGGCUAUGAUGCGGUAGGCAGGUGGCACGGUGUACCAGGUGGCACCCGAAUGGUGGGUUUGGGAACCCUGCACACAUCAUCUGGGGCUGUAGUGGAAACCUCGGUCAGACUUGCGGAUCGAUAUCAAAUAGGCGAUAAACCUGUACUAGAGUUUCCUAUGAUUUGUCAGGUUGUGGCCUACACCCUCGCCAGGCUUCCGCUUGAAGGUUUCCGAGAUACAUGACAUGUACAUGGUGAUAGGUGGUGGAAGCCUGUGUGAAGAAGUACAACCCUGCAAGGUUAUCAAACUAUACGAAUAGCCGCGUCCUGGAAUAGGGGGUCCUAGUCCAGUUGGCCUAGUGCUGUCUAGAAGACGGGUGCAAGCUAUGUCAAAGUUGUCCGAUGGCGUGCUCGUCUAGCAUAGAGCUCCAUACAAAGGGCACGAACCUCAUGAUCCAUGUCCUCCAGCAACAGUGCAGUGGUCUAGACCUUUGGCUCCUCAGGAGCGGCAUCAGUAUAGAGACCACUAAGAUAACCCUCCUCGCCUAGAAGUGACGCUGGCAUAUAGCUGAACACAGUGUUCUGAAGUAGUGCGUGGUUAGUUCGAAGUAUCUUCAUCAUGGACUAGGCUGCAUCCUGAGCGGCCAUAUCGAUAGUAACUCCCAGUCCAUAAGACCAGUGGAUAGGAUUUGUAGCUCCAGGGUAUGAAGGAUAAAUCCUGAUAGUACAAAGAUACUGACUCUGGUUAAAUUCCCGGUACCGGUCCUCCACUGUGUACUCAGGGUACCAGCGGUAACCGGUCUCAAGCAUGACACGAACCAACAUAGCCAUAUGACCUGGCACAUCAAUGCACCUGGUCAGGUAGACAACCCGAUGGGGAGAGCGGGAAGCCAUCUGAAACAAGGAGUAAUGCAAAGGCAUUAGAAUUUCUAGGACAAUUCAGGCAACAUAACGACUGAAAAUGCUUAAAAAAGAUUUUGAGGCAUCCUGCAAAGAUGGUAGCAUAACCGCUCAACAUCAUAAUAUCAAGGUUCCAAGACCAACUGUUUAACACCCCACUAAGUACCUGAAACUGAACUGAAACUUGAAUCCACCAUUCCUAUAAGUCUACGGAUUAGUAACAUGAGAUCCUGAUAGAUAGAUAAUAAGCCUAGUUCCUAAUCCCUGUUGAAAAGAGGAGGUGACUCAGAAUGGAAUGACACGAGAAAAGAAGUAAAAAGAGCCUUACGCUCCAUUCCACAAUCAAUUCCCUUACAUAUAACUAAAUCAUUUCUAGAAUCGACAUCAACCAGUUUGGCUUGGUAAUCCUACAGGCAGUCAGGCUUUGAUGCCAACGCUGUUAGGACCCCGAUCCUAAGUCACACCGAUCUAGCAGUAGACACAUGGUAUCACUUUGGGCCUCACGCACGGUAGCCCACGGCUGCAGCCUUUACCUUUCCCGAGACCAUUUGCGUCUUUUGGCUCACAUAUAUGAUUGUGAUGUUAGCAUCCAUAUGAUAGAGAACCCGAGCCGACAUGACUAGUCAUAAACCAAGGUGGCACAAAUGUACAUGGAUGAGCAUACGUAACCCAACAAUGCACGUGUCAGUCAUUAGUGUGUACAAUCGAGUCAUAGCAAGCUAUAAGGACUCCAGUAAAACACCGCGUGACAUUUCCCCGAAGGGACAAACACAUGAGCAAAGAAGGAUACAUGUCGGUCAAUCCAUGUGUUCCAGAGUAGUAACAAACUACCAGGGCUCAGUGGAAGCACUAGGAGGCAUUUCCCUAUAGGAAAGGCUACCAAGGUAGAUAACUUGAUGUCGAAUCCCACACAUACUAGUUGUUGUAGGGUGGAACCAUAAUCGGCCGAUCUUUCACGAAAGGAGCGGAUCCCGUGAAGAACACGAGGGGAAACACGAGGGGAAAACACAAGGGGAAUCACGAGAGAAUCACUAAACCAACAAGAAAUAGUCACACAUAUGCUAUAUCCUCGAGUACAUAAGAGAUCACAUGAUCCACGGACAAGUAAGGACGGUACAAAGGUAGCCGGUCUUCUUCGUGAGGAGGUCUUGAUGUUCUUCUCCGCAAGGAGGUCUUGAAUCCAAAGGGAUCUUCUUUGAAGAGGGCCGCGGUCUCUCUUGUGGAGUAGAUCCGAUGUGGAUGAGCAAUGCUCUAUCUCUAAUAUGAGCUAAACCAAUGCUAACCCUAGCUAGAAGGAAUAGGAGGUCUAUUUAUAGUCUGAGUGCAAAAGGGGACGAAGCAGGGGUACAUGGGCUGCGUCCCAACACAUGGCAGCACACAGGUGUCGGACGUCCGGGAGUCACUGGUCAUUCGAAGGCUCGCGAGGGUCCGGACGUCCGGUGUCUGUCGGGCAUCUGUAGAUUCGGCUCGGGUGGUCUUCGGUCGGACGUUCGGUCGGGGUCGGUCGUCCAGGCGUCGGUCGUCCGGGUGGCUUUGGAAAUCCGUAGUUUUGGCUCGGGUGUGGGUGGGUCGGACGUCCUGGCUGGGUCGGACAUCCGGAGCCUGGAGAUCGUCGGACAUCCGGCCCUGGUCGGUCGUCCGGAGCCUGUAGCUUCUUCCGCAUCUCUUCUUCUUCACGUCCAUCUUCCUCUUCUGAUUCUCCUUGCUCCGUAGCUUCUUCAUGGCUAACUCCUUGACAUCUGAGUAUGCAUAAUGUCUCCGUUUGAGGUAGUAGCCAUGUCUCAUGUGCAUCGAAGUGAACUUGUGAGAGGAGAGAUGUCACCUCGGUUUCGAGAGCUCUUGCACGUGCUCGUGUUAUGGGCCUGCUAGGAACUUGGUGAGACGAUGGUAGGUCCAUGGGGAUGACCUUGGGAUGCUCCGCAUCAUCUCACCUCCCUUGGGGAAGAUCCGACCUCGGAUCAAAUUCUCAUCACCAUGGCAGGGCGAAAGGUCCUUGACAUUGAAGAUGUCGCUGAUGUUGUACUUGUCGCGCGGGAGGUCAAUCUUGUAAGCGUUGUUGUUGUACCAUGCGAGCACCUUGAAGGGUACAUCCGCUCGAGGUAGAAGCUUGGACUUGCAUUCGGUGGGGAAGCGGUCUUUGUGAAGGUGUAGCCACACAAGAUCACCAAUGUCGAAUACCAUGGGUUGCUUGUUGAUGUUGAGCUUGGUCGCAAGUCGUUGUACUUGGCGCUCGAUGGUGUGCCUUGUAUCUUCAUGCACCUUCUUGAGAUGGUUCACAUGUGCACUUGCAUCAAAUUGAUGUGCUCUUGUAGUGGUAGAGGGAGAAUGUCCAAUGGGGACAAUGGGUUGAAUCCGUAGACGACCUCGAAGGGGGACUUGCUAGUUGUUGAGUGUCUUGCUCGGUUGUAGGUGAACUCGGCAAUAGGUAGACACUCCUCCCACUCCUUUAUGUUCUUCUUGAUGAGUACUCGAAGUAGAGCGGAGAGUGUGCGGUUGGUCACCUCCGUUUGGCCGUCGGUUUGUGGAUGAUACGCCAUGGAGAAGAGUAGCUUGAUUUUGAGCUUGGUACAUAGGAUCUUCCAAAAGUGGCUUAGGAACUUGACGUCGCGGUCGGAGACAAUCGUCUUUGGCACUCCAUGUAGACGCGAUAUUUCCCUACAAAAGAGAUUGGCAACAUGUGAAGCAUCGUCUAUCUUGUUGCAAGGAAUGAAAUGUGCCAUCUUAGAGAAACGGUCCACAACGACGAAUACCGAAUCCUUUCCAUUUCUAGUCCCAGGCAAUCCAAGUACAAAAUCCAUGCUAAUAUCUUCCCAUGGUUGAUAUGGAAUUGGAAGAGGCAUAUAAAGUCCAUGGGAUUGAGCUUUAGACUUAGCUUUGCGACAUGUAGAACAUCAGUUGGUGAAGCGGUUGACGUCGCGAAACAUAUUGGGCCAAAAAUAGUUCUUGGAGAGCGUAGCAAAAGUCUUGUAGCGUCCAAAAUGUCCCAUUAGUCCUCCUCCAUGAGAUUCCUGCAAAAGCAACAAACGGAGAGAAGACUCAGGGAUGCAAAGCUUGUUAGAUCUCAUAAGAUAUCCAUCUUUGAUGUAAUAGCGUUCCCAAGAUGUAUGCGUCAAACAUUUGGCAUAAGGAGUAUCAAAAGUAGGAUAAUGCUCAUACAAGUCUUUUAUGUGCUCAAAGCCAAUGACAUCCAAUUCAAGUUGAGUAACAAGCAUGCAUAUGCGGGAAAGGGCAUCCGCCACAACGUUUUCCUUACCUUUGAUGUACUUGAUGAUAUAAGGAAAAGACUCAAUAAAUUCACUCCAUUUAGCAUGACGCUUGUUCAACUUGGUUUGGCCCUUAAGGUACUUGAGCGUUUCAUGAUUGGUAUUAAUGAUAAAUUCAUGAGGGCGAAGAUAGUGUUCCCAUUUGUGCAAAAGUCGCACUAAAGCAUAUAGCACUUUGUCAUAGAUGGGGUAAUUGAUUCGCGCUCUGGAAAGUUUUUCACUAAAGUAAGCUAUAGGGCGCUUCUCUUGCGUUAACACACCUCCUAUGCCAUUAUCACUAGCAUCACAAUGAAUCUCAAAGGGUUUGUCAAAGUUGGGUAAAGCAAGCACAGGAGCAUGAGUAAGCAAAUUCUUAAGCUAAUUGAAAGCGGUAUCUUGGGAUGGUCCCCAAACAAAAGGCACAUUUUUCUUGCUCAAAGCAUGCAAAGGCGAAGCAAUGGUGCUAAAAUCUUUCACAAAGUGACGAUAGAAACCCGCAAGGCCAAGAAAACUAUGCACUUGUUGCAAGUUGGUUGGUUGGGGCCAAGUCUUAAUAGCAUUGAUCUUGGAAUCAUCAACAUGAACACCCUUAGAGGAAACAACAAAACCCAAGAAAAUGAGCUUAUCAACGCCAAAAAGGCACUUUUCCAUGUUAGCAUAGAUACGCUCUUUUUGAAGAGUUUGCAAAACGGUUCGCACACGGGUGACAUGAUCUUUAAGAGAUUUGCUAUAACCAAGGAUAUCAUUGAAGUAGACCACAACAAACACACCAAUGUAAGGGCUAAAGACAUGAUUCAUAAGACGCAUAAAAGUACCCAGUGCUUCUGAUAGACCCAUAGGCAUGACUAACCACUCAUAUAACCCAAAAUUGGUUUUGAAAGCAGUUUUCCAUUCAUCACCCUCUUGUAUACAGAUUUGAUAGUAACCACUCUUAAGAUCAAUUUUGGAAAAUAUAGUGGCACCACUAAGUUCAUCAAGCAUAUCAUCAAGGUGUGGACCUAUAGCGAACGGUGAUAGCAUUGAUAGGUCUACAAUCGGAGCACAUGCGAAAGCUACCGUCUCGUUUUGGCACAAGAAUGACCGGGACGGCACAAGGGCUCAAACUUUCACUCACAUGUCCAUGGUCUAUGAGAUGCUUUACUUGCCUUUGUAUUUCUUUGGUUUCUUCGGGGUUGACGCGGUAGGGAGCUUUGUUCGGAAGAGGUGCUCCAGGGACGAGGUCGAUGCUGUGCUCGAUGCCUCGUAGUGGAGGUAGUCCCAGAGGUAGCUCGUCGGGGAAAAUAUCUUGAAAUUCCUGCAAAAGAGAAGACAACACUAAAGGUAGAGCAUGAGAGGUGUUAGCGUUUGGUGCGUUGUCCUUGUACAAAAGGACAUAGUGUAGGACACUUGAUGGGUUCUCACACACUCCUCUUAUCUCUCUUUUGGUGGAAAAUAGGACUAAGUUCUUCUUGUUGCUCAUCGUGGAGGCACUCUAUUUGGGCUUGUGGCGGUUACUCUCUUUUUGGUUGCCUGCUCUCUCACUAUUCUCUCCACGAUGGGUGGCUUGCUGGUUGGCGAUCACUUGGCUUGGAGACAUGGGGCUAAGUACGUACUCCUUUCCUUUCAUCUUGAAGAUGUAGUGGUUCGUUCGGCCGUUGUGGAUGACACCUCUAUCAAAUUGCCAUGGGCGUCUAAGAAGAAGGUGGCAAACGGUCAUGGGAACGACAUCGCACUCCAAAAUGUCUUCGUAGGCACCAAUUUUGAAGGAGACUUGUACUCGAUGCUCGACUUGGAUAGUGUCGGAGUCGCUAAGCCAUUGAACUUUGUAGGGAUGUGGGUGCUUCGUCUUGGGCAAUUGGAGCUUGGAGCAAAGUUCUUCACUUGUGAGGUUAUGACAACUUCCUCCAUCAAUGAUAACCUUAAAGGAUCUUCCAUUGAUGCCGGCCUUGGUAUGAAAGAUGUGGCAUCGUUGGUCUUCUUCUCGGUGAUGUUGAAGAGUCAAGACCUUGGAGACAACUAGAGCGGGACUUGAAUCUUCAUCGCAAAAGACUUGUUCCGUGUCUUCUUCGUUCACUUGCUGGUGUAUGGCCACUUGCUCAAGGGCUUCCAUUUCUCCUUCACUCAUUGAGUCAUAAGUGCCAUCGUCAUUGAGGAUCAUGGUCCGCUUGUUGGUGCACUCGUAGGACUUGUGUCCUCGGCCUCCGCAUGUGAAGCAUUUGAAGGAACUCGUCUUGAUGGUCUCAUCAGUUGGGUAGAGGAUGAUGAAGCUUUCGGCUUGAAGUUGCUUGUUGUAGGAUGACUUGGGGUUGACAAAGCUUUCUUGUGGCUCGACUUGUCGACGUUGCUUGUAGAAGGCUUGGUAGACGGUGUUGGAGUCGUUGAAGCUUGGGUGUUGGAGAAGCCAUAUGACUUGGAUGAGAACUUGGCAUACUUGUAAUCGUCUUGCACUUGACGUUCUGCUUUUGUAGCUUGGUGCACGAGCUUGAUGAUGUUCGAGUAUGGUUGGAAGUCGGAGAUCUUCUUGAUAGGAUGAUUGAGUCCAUUCAAGAAACGUGCCAUAGUUUGCUCAUCAUAUUCCAUGACGUUGGCUCUUAUCAUGGAAAUCUCCAUCUCCUUGUAGUACUCUUCAAUGCUCUUGGUUCCUUGCUUGUGUAGUUGAAGCUUCUUGAAGAGGUCACGGUUGUAGUAGGUAGGCACGAAGCGUGCUCUCAUGACAUCCUUCAUUUGUGCCCAAGUAGUGAUGGGUGGUUCACCUCUUGCCUCACAGCGCUCGAUCACUUGUUCCCACCAAAUGAGGACAUAGUCUUGGAACUCAAGGGAUGCCAUCGCGAUCUUCUUCUCUUCUUCAUAGUUGUGCAAACGGAAUAUUUUGUCGACCUUCAAUGCCCAUGAAAGGCACUCUUCGGGAUCGUUGCUUCCAUUGAACUUGGGCAUGAUGAACUUUAGCUUGCCGUAGCGUUGCUCUUCAUUGUGUUGGGGUCGAGGAUGAUGACGCCCAUGUUGUUGAUGAUUGUAAAACUCGUUGUGCUCUUGGCAAGGAGGGUUGUCAACCUCAUGUUGCUCUUGUCAUGGAGGAUUCCCAUUGUCUUCACGCUCUUGGUGAACUUGUGGAGGAACUUGUCGAGCUUGACGUUGCACGCGACCUUGAUGUCGUCGUUCGUGAGCUUCUUCGCGAAGUGCUUCUUCAUGUUCACGAACUUGUCAGCCUCGGUUGGCUAUGGCUCGACUUGAAUCUUGGAGGGCACAUUGCGCCUCAAGUGCUUGAGCUUCACGUAGUUAUUGUUCUUGUCGUUGUGCCUCAGCAUCUUCUGCAUCUUGGUGUAGACGCGCUCGCUCUUCCUCUUCAUGUUGGCGUUGUCGUUGCGUUCUCGUGCUAGCGCAAAAGCCGCUUAGGUUUGACAUUGUCGGUGCUCUUGAGAGUUGGUGUCACGUAGAGGAUUGAGGCUUGCUUGACGAUCAUUGCACGCGGCACGACGAAGAGUGUUCGAUGUCGGUGUACUUGAACCGGAGAGGGUGAAGUCGGAGUGUUGACUUUAGCAGCUCCGUCUUGAUGAGGACGAAGUGGAAGAAGAGCGGUUGAGAAACAAAGCGCGAAUCUCGUCCAUUCUUGUGUCGUUCUCUUGCUUGUGGUCGUAGAGCUUGUGGUCAAAUUAGUCCCUUGUAUGUUGCUUGGAGAGUCACAAGUCGGCGGUGAGGCUGUCGAUGCGUUCACUCAUUGCUUGUUGCUCUUGAUGCAAAGCACGUUGUGCACCAAAGAGGUGGCUCUUGGUGACGUAGGAGUUCAUGUCGUCAUUGUGCUCUAUGAAGAGUGGGUUGGUAGAAGUACUUGGCCUAUCCAUCAUUCCAAGAGAAAUAUGUGAGUGGGAGAAAGAGAAGAACGUAUACCAAAUGUACCUUGACCGAAGUUGAAGGUGGAUCAAUGAUCACUCCAAUGUGGAACAAGGAAAUAGCACAACUGGUACCAAUUCUUGUUGGUUUGUCACACCUACACAAGUAAAAGCUUAUGGUGGAGCUUGGUUAGGAUGGUGGCACAAAAUUUUAUACAAUUGUAAGUGAGCUUCAAGAAUGUUGGAAAAGCUUCGCAAGUUUGCAAUGCAACGAGUAGACCAAGCAAUAUACGGUACACGGAAACACACACACAAAAAGAUAAGUGGGGUCGUGCAACCAAGGGUGAGCCAAAAUAUGGAAUCCAAAAAAAUGCUCUUAUUGCACAACACUAGAGAGACGCUAGCAUGAUUGCACAAUAGGCGGAUACAAAGACUUGUGCACAACCUACUUAGCAAAAAUGCAACGACUUCUAUCCCAAGUAUGCUCUAUGCAAGGUGUUUCUAUGAUAUGAUCCAAGAUGAUCUAGUAUGGCAAUCUUAAUGUUGUAUGAUGCUAUGGUUCUUGCUUAAAGGAUCUUUUCUUAUCUUUCCCUUUUGCUUAAAAGCUUGUUUGACUCUUUGUUGUUUGAGCUCUUUUCUCAUGCAAUGCUUCACGAACCAAGAUAGUAAUUGUGUAUGCGAUGACAACCUUGACACAAGAGAUGAUACCAAUAUAUGCACCAAUGAUGUAUGUAUGCUAUGGGAAGUAUGAUCACUAAUGUGCACAAGUCUCGUUGCCGGCAAUACUCAAAAGCUAGUCUCGAUGGGUAAGCGACGCAAAGGAGUAAGGCUAUGGUGGCUAUCAAUGUAAUGGCAAGAAUGAUAUGUCCAAUACCAAGGUGAGGUUACUGCUUCAUUGGUUCCUUGCCGUAAGCAAGAAACGGAUGACGGUGAUCAAAUGGGUGGCACGAAUACCAAAAUGUAGUCGAGGUUGUCGUUGUUGAUGACGCGUCCGUGGCGAAGAUGAGCGGUGGUGAUGUUGAUGUCGAACCGUACCUAAAUAGCCGAAACACAAGUAGGACAUGGGACCGCAACUCAAAUUCUCAAUGCUCGAAGUGGCAAAACAUGCCGGAGAGUGAAACAGGUAAGCAAUGGUGGUGGUAUGCGGAAGUGGUGAUGGUGUAUAGGUGGUGGGAGUGCAUAUGCGGAAGUGGGGUGGUGGCGGUGACAAAAACUGAAAAAAAUCAGUUUCGUCAGGGAACUCCGGACGUCCGGGAUGGGCCGGUCAUCCGGUCAUCGGACGUCCAGAAGAGGUCGGACGUCCGGUGCCUGGGAACUUGUCGGGCACGGGAUGAACUGCACAUGCGCGGGGUGGAUGAGGUGAAUUUUGUCGAAUCCGGGCGAUUUCAUGGAUGGAAAGGGUGACAAAGCUAGAUCCACUCAAGACAAAGCAAAUCCACGGAUCAAAUCCAACAAAAUUUCAACACACCAACAAAUCACAAAAAAAAAA
rnacentral:lncRNA from 1 species